GGGAGUAUAGCCAAGUGGUAAGGCACGAGUCUGCAAAACUCUUAUGCCCCGGUUCGAAUCCGGGUACUCCCUCCA
rnacentral:tRNA from 1 species